CGGAUCAGCAUGCCGCGGUGAAUACGUUCCCGGGCCUUGUACACACCGCCCGUCACACCAUGAGAGCCGGUAAUACCCGAAGUCAGUAUCCUAACCGCAAGGAGGGAGCUGCCGAAGGUAGGAUUGGCGAUUGGGGUGAAGUCGUAACAAGGUAAC
rnacentral:rRNA from 1 species